UACAGAGGUCCCAAGCGUUGUUCGGAUUCACUGGGCGUAAAGGGCGCGUAGGCGGUCUUGUAAGUCUCGUGUGAAAUCCCUCGGCUUAACUGAGGAACUGCACGGGAUACUGCAUGACUUGAGAUCGGGAGAGGGAAGCGGAAUUCCGGGUGUAGCGGUGAAAUGCGUAGAUAUCCGGAGGAACACCGGUGGCGAAGGCGGCUUCCUGGACCGACACUGACGCUGAGGCGCGAAAGCUAGGGGAGCAAACGGG
rnacentral:rRNA from 1 species